rnacentral:misc_RNA from 1 species
CAAACCAAUCCUAUUUUUACCAAAAUAUAGCUCUACAUCAACCAAAUAAUGCAUUCACUCUUUUUUUUAGUAUAGGCCUUAAAUAUUCGUCAACAAGGCCGCUAAAACCCAUUUCCAACCGUCAAUUGGCCAUAAAACUUGAUGCCCUCUAAUUUUUCAUUGAUUUAUAGAAAAGAAGCCCAGUGAAAUUAAGGAGCGGAUAUCCUACAAAAGAAACAGCCAUUGGAUCCGUUAAAAUUCUCCUGCAACAUGCACAAACCCUCGCUUCACAAGGUCUCUUUAAUGCUUCAAAAACAUCAACAAUCAUUCACAUCAAAACAGAGCACACUAACUAUUGAAGUAGCAGCUAGCAAGCAUAACUUAACGAAAAUGAAAAACAUCUCCAAACAUAAACUGUUUGUUAAGCCAAGACCACAACAUCUAAUGAGCAUGGUCACUCUUCCUAUUGAGCUACCAAGAUGAUGGAGAAGCAGCCGCAGGGGCAACAAAUCUAGAGACAGAUCUGGAAAUGGGACUUGCACUUGGGCUCCUGCAGUAACUAUCUCGAGAAUAUUCACGUCUUGAUGAACCUCCAUAGGAUAGACUCCUUGUGUUCUUCUUUACCUUUGGAGAAAGGCUCCUAGAGUAACUCCUCUUCGAGCUCUUCCUCACCCUUGGGGAAAGGCUUCGAGAGUAACUCCUUGAACUUCUUUUUGAUGUAGGAGAAAUGCUGCAUGAGUAGCUCCUCCUUGAGCUCCUUCUUGGUCUAGGGGAAAUGCUGCUUGAGUAGCUCCUCCUUGAGCCUCUCCUCGUCCUUGGUGGGGUAGGACUCCGGGAGACAGAAGGAUGAUGAUAUCUUCUAUAGUAUCUGUCAUCUGGUGAGUAAUAUCUAGAAUCAUAAGGUGAGAAUGACCGAUCACACCUACUUACAUGGGACCUCCUGUAAGGAGAUCUGGAGUAUGAUCGGCGCCGGCUAUAGUGGGGUGAAUAUGACCUGCGCCGAGAGUAAUAAGGAGAGUAGGAUCGGUGGCGACUGUAGCGAGGAGAAUAUGACCUGCUCCUACUGCAGUCAGAUGAAUAAUAAGGUGACCGACUAUGGCUCCUCCAAUAUGGAGAGUAGCUGGGAGAUCGACGAGGAGAAUAACUGGGUGUCCUGCGUCGCACACGAAUAGUUCUCAGCCCCAGAUACCUUCCAGGAGUAGGAGUUCGUCCUCUCCGCCUCUUAGCCUAACACAAAUUAAAAGAGUUGGUUCAUUGAAUUGCAAAACCACCAGCACUAGAAAGAUAUUUUAAAAAUUUACUCUUUUCUAAUGUAUACAUCCAUUAUAUGCAUAUAGGAUAGAAUCAAAUUGUUCAUAACAAAUGAAGUGAUAACAAAAUAAGUAUGGCAUAUAAACUUAAACAGCACAAGAUUUAAUUGCUAAAAAGAGGAGAGAAAUGCAGGGCAUACAACCCUAACAGUCUGAUACUGCUUGGUGUGUUUGAUUUGUUUGUUAGUUGUGGUAAGAACUUUGGAAUUUGAUGAAGAGCUGCUACACACAGCUAACCUGCUGCCACAGAAGCUUCAAGUGGAAAGAAGCAAACAACUUUCAAACUCAUAAGAACUAAUAGCAAACCAUCUAGAAUUCUUAACACAAAUUUAAGCAAUACAAAUUAACCAAGAUCCAAUAACCUUGUGUUGAUCAUUAUGACCAAAAUGAAUGAAGAUUUUACCUUCUCCACUGUAAUCACACGGCCUUCAAGAACAGAACGGUCCAAAUAUUUGAUGCAGCGAUCAGCCUCAUCAAUAGUGGACAUUGUUACAAAACCAAAUCCACGAGAUUCUCUCGUCCAUGGAUCAACCACCAGAUGAACAUCGAUCACCGUUCCCUCACUGGCAAAAUGCUUCUCAAGAUCUCUCUUGGUGAUACGUGGUGACAGUCCUGUCACAUACAAAUUGUUACCAGGGUUUUCCACGUCACUUGUGGGGCUCCUUGACCUGUCCCUCUCCCUUGAUCUCGACCUUGACACCGACAAAGAUCUCGACACGG